UACGGGGGGGGCAAGCGUUGUUCGGAAUUACUGGGCGUAAAGGGCUCGUAGGUGGCCAACUAAGUCAUACGUGAAAUCCCUCGGCUUAACCGGGGAACUGCGUCUGAUACUGGAUGGCUUGAGAUUGGGAGAGGGAUGCGGAGUUCCAGGUGUAGCGGUGAAAUGCGUAGAUAUCUGGAGGAGCACCGGUGGCGAAGGCGGCAUCCUGGACCAACACUGACACUGAGGAGCGAAAGCCAGGGGAGCAAACGGG
rnacentral:rRNA from 1 species